rnacentral:rRNA from 1 species
GACGAACGCUGGCGGCGUGCUUAACACAUGCAAGUCGAACGGAAAGGCCCUGCUUUUGUGGGGUGCUCGAGUGGCGAACGGGUGAGUAACACGUGAGUAACCUGCCCUUGACUUUGGGAUAACUUCAGGAAACUGGGGCUAAUACCGGAUAGGAGCUCCUGCUGCAUGGUGGGGGUUGGAAAGUUUCGGCGGUUGGGGAUGGACUCGCGGCUUAUCAGCUUGUUGGUGGGGUAGUGGCUUACCAAGGCUUUGACGGGUAGCCGGCCUGAGAGGGUGACCGGCCAAAUUGGGGCGGAGAUACGGCCCGGACUCCUACGGGGGGCAGGGGGGGGGAAUGUUGAACAAGGGGCGGAAGCCGGAUGCGGCAACGCCGGGGGCGGGAUGACGGCCUUCGGGUUGGAAACCGAUUUCGCCUGUGACGAAGGGUGGGGAGGGGAAAUGGGAAAAAAAGCCCCGGCAAACUACGG